rnacentral:rRNA from 1 species
CACGUAGGGUGCGAGCGUUGUCCGGAAUUAUUGGGCGUAAAGAGCUCGUAGGCGGUGUGUCGCGUCGGCCGUGAAAACCUGCAGCUUAACUGUGGGCUUGCGGUCGAUACGGGCAUCACUGGAGUUCGGCAGGGGAGACUGGAAUUCCUGGUGUAGCGGUGAAAUGCGCAGAUAUCAGGAGGAACACCGGUGGCGAAGGCGGGUCUCUGGGAUGAUGCUGACGCUGAGGCGCGAAAGCCAGGGGAGCAAACGGG